CGCGUAGGCGGCCCGACAAGUCAGGCGUGAAAUCCCUCGGCUCAACCGAGGAGCUGCGUUUGAAACUGUUGGGCUUGAGUCCCGGAGAGGGUAGCGGAAUUCCCAGUGUAGCGGUGAAAUGCGUAGAUAUUGGGAGGAACACCAGUGGCGAAGGCGGCUACCUGGACGGGUACUGACGCUGAGGCACGAAAGCGUGGGGAGCAAACAGGAUUAGAUACCCUGGUAGUCC
rnacentral:rRNA from 1 species